rnacentral:pre_miRNA from 1 species
AAAGUACUCCCUCCGUCCCAAAAUUCUUGUCUUAGAUUUGUCUAGAUACGGAUGUAUCAAGUCACAUUUUAGUAUUAGAUACAUCUGUAUCUGGACAAAUCUAAGACAAGAAAUUUGGGACAGAGGGAGUAGUUG